rnacentral:rRNA from 1 species
GACGAACGCUGGCGGCGUGCUUAACACAUGCAAGUCGAACGGAAAGGCCCUGCUUUUGUGGGGUGCUCGAGUGGCGAACGGAUGAGUAACACGUGAGUAACCUGCCCUUGACUUUGGGAUAACUUCAGGAAACUGGGGCUAAUAACGGCUAGGAGCUCCUGCUGCAUGGUGGGGGUUGGAAAGUUUCGGCGGUUGGGGAUGGACUCGCGGCUUAUCAGCUUGUUGGUGGGGUAGUGGCUUACCAAGGCUUUGACGGGUAGCCGGCCUGACGGGGUGACCGGCCACAUUGGGACUGAGAUACGGCCCAGACUCCUACGGGUGGCAGCAGUGGGGAAUAUUGCACAAUGGGCGGAAGCCUGAUGCAGCAACGCCGCGUGCGGGAUGACGGUCUUCGGGUUGUAAACCGCUUUCGCCUGUGACGAAGCGUGAGUGACGGUAAUGGGUAAAGAAGCACCGGCUAACUACGUG